GUCGCCCACUGUAUGCGCUUUCAGUAGAAGUCAGAAGUAGGCCUAUAAUGAACGGUCCAGACAGUAGAAAUCUGCAUACAUUACGGAGAUGGUCAACCAGAUUUGAACACAAUCAGAUCACAAUGCGACUUUUAUGCGUCUACACCCGUGUUUUCAAUGCGAUAUUUGUAUUCUGAUGGCAGAAAUCGCAAAAAAAUUCAAGAUUAGACACGACCUGAGCAGCGACAAUCAAGCGAACAAGUUUUUCGCACUUGAUCGUUUGAGAUCCACACAUCCAUAAUUAGUUGUUAAACACCACUCCUGAUCCGGGAAUCAGAUUGGCUAUUUGCACUUCAGGGAAACACUGUCACUACUGCUAAGGAAUGCAUCCUAGUCCAUCUACUAUCCAGCUUGUUCUCACCUCAGUGUCAGCAGUCUUGAACCGGGUGCGAGGAUUCUGUGGCCAUUAUUGGAGACGUUACACCUCAGAAGAGUAUACGUUAUCUUGUCCAGUAAGAGAAACCCAACCAGCACCUCGCUCCAGCUCUGUGAGACCCUGGGUUUGGGAUGUUCAUCAUGACCUGGCCCCGGCCUAUGGGAAUUCCAAUGACCUGCACUGAAGAGAAAAUGUGAAAGGCUCUUCUUUACUCGGUUUUCAUUUUUGUUUAUACCCCGUUCUCGGGGUAUACUGGUAGAUGAUUGGUCUGUUUCAGCCAGAUCCUGUUGAGCUCUUGCCAAAUAAAACCUACAUAUAACUCAUGAAACCAGGGUAUGUACAGUAAGUCUUGUGUAUAAUAAAUGAUAUUUAAUGAAAUGUUUGUCUGGCUAAUAUCUAUGGGUUGGUGUCAGUAGGUCGUCUUAGCUGUAAAAGUCACAACCUACCUCUUUACCUCUGAAGUGUACGUGCAUGGUAAUCAUUAUUCCAUCCAGCUUUUAACUUCACAUCUUAGAAUCUGUGGUGAGGU